rnacentral:rRNA from 1 species
CGCGGUGGCGGAGCGUCGUUUGCGACGCCCAACACACAAAACAAGCGGUGAGUGCUUUGGGGUGGGGUGACUGCGUACCUUUUGUAUAAUGGGUCAGCGACUUAUAUUCUGUAGCAAGGUUAACCGUAUAGGGGAGCCGAAGGGAAACCGAGUCUUAACUGGGCGUUAAGUUGCAGGGUAUAGACCCGAAACCCGGUGAUCUAGCCAUGGGCAGGUUGAAGGUUGGGUAACACUAACUGGAGGACCGAACCGACUAAUGUUGAAAAAUUAGCGGAUGACUUGUGGCUGGGGGUGAAAGGCCAAUCAAACCGGGAGAUAGCUGGUUCUCCCCGAAAGCUAUUUAGGUAGCGCCUCGUGAACUCAUCUUCGGGGGUAGAGCACUGUUUCGGCUAGGGGGUCAUCCCGACUUACCAACCCGAUGCAAACUGCGAAUACCGAAGAAUGUUAUCACGGGAGACACACGGCGGGUGCUAACGUCCGUCGUGAAGAGGGAAACAACCCAGACCGCCAGCUAAGGUCCCAAAGUCACAGUUAAGUGGGAAACGAUGUGGGAAGGCUCAGACAGCCAGGAUGUUGGCUUAGAAGCAGCCAUCAUUUAAAGAAAGCGUAAUAGCUCACUGGUCGAGUCGGCCUGCGCGGAAGAUGUAACGGGGCUAAACUGUGCACCGAAGCUGCGGCAGCGACGCUUAUGCGUUGUUGGGUAGGGGAGCGUUCUGUAAGCCUGCGAAGGUGUCCUGUGAGGGAUGCUGGAGGUAUCAGAAGUGCGAAUGCUGACAUAAGUAACGAUAA